rnacentral:rRNA from 1 species
GACGAACGCUGGCGGCGUGCUUAACACAUGCAAGUCGAACGGAAAGGCCCUGCUUGCAGUGUACUCGAGUGGCGAACGGGUGAGUAACACGUGGGUGAUCUGCCCUUCACUUCGGGAUAAGCCUGGGAAACUGGGUCUAAUACCCGAUAGGAGCCAUUUUUAGUGUGAUGGUUGUAAAGUUUUUUCGGUGUAGGAUGAGCUCGCGGCCUAUCAGCUUGUUGGUGGGGUAAUGGCCUACCAAGGCGGCGACGGGUAGCCGGCCUGAGAGGGUGGACGGCCACAUUGGGACUGAGAUACGGCCCAGACUCCUACGGGAGGCAGCAGUGGGGAAUAUUGCACAAUGGGCGCAAGCCUGAUGCAGAGACGCCGCGUGGGGGAUGACGGCCUUCGGGUUGUAAACUCCUUUCGCUAGGGACGAAGCUUUUUGUGACGGUACCGAGAUAAGAAGCACCGGCGAACUACGU